UAGGGAAUCUUCCGCAAUGGACGCAAGUCUGACGGAGCAACGCCGCGUGAGUGAAGAAGGAUUUCGGUUCGUAAAACUCUGUUGUUAGAGAAGAACAGCGCAUAGAGUAACUGUUAUGCGUGUGACGGUAUCUAACCAGAAAGCCACGGCUAACUACGUGCCAGCAGCCGCGGUAAUACGUAGGUGGCAAGCGUUGUCCGGAUUUACUGGGCGUAAAGCGAGCGCAGGCGGUCAAUUAAGUCUGAUGUGAAAGCCCCCGGCUCAACCGGGGAGGGUCAUUGGAAACUGGUUGACUUGAGUGCAGAAGAGGAGAGUGGAAUUCCAUGUGUAACGGUGAAAUGCGUAGAUAUAUGGAGGAACACCAGUGGCGAAGGCGACUCUCUGGUCUGUAACUGACGCUGAGGCUCGAAAGCGUGGGUAGCAAACAGG
rnacentral:rRNA from 1 species